CUGCAAGUUCCCACUGUGCUUGGGUCUGGGGUGUCCUUGGACAUUCCUACAGUGCUUACUAGAACAUGAUCAAACAGUCUGAGGCCUUGCCCGCCUCCAUCCAGAGCUAGGUUAUAGACAUUUCAGACAAUU